AUAAUAUAUCGCAUAUUGCCGAAGACAGCAGGUGCCGUAAGGCGUAACCGUUUGGCCUGCCGAGGAGUUUAUUUCAGAAGUGAACGUGAUAAUAAGCCUCUCUGUCUUUGCAGAGAGGCUUAUUAUUGUUUAGA
rfam:Eubacterium plexicaudatum ASF492 genomic scaffold acLZb-supercont1.2, whole genome shotgun sequence.